rnacentral:rRNA from 1 species
UUCUUUUUCCACCGGAGCUUGCUCCACCGGAAAAAGAAGAGUGGCGAACGGGUGAGUAACACGUGGGUAACCUGCCCAUCAGAAGGGGAUAACACUUGGAAACAGGUGCUAAUACCGUAUAACAAUCGAAACCGCAUGGUUUUGAUUUGAAAGGCGCUUUCGGGUGUCGCUGAUGGAUGGACCCGCGGUGCAUUAGCUAGUUGGUGAGGUAACGGCUCACCAAGGCCACGAUGCAUAGCCGACCUGAGAGGGUGAUCGGCCACAUUGGGACUGAGACACGGCCCAAACUCCUACGGGAGGCAGCAGUAGGGAAUCUUCGGCAAUGGACGAAAGUCUGACCGAGCAACGCCGCGUGAGUGAAGAAGGUUUUCGGAUCGUAAAACUCUGUUGUUAGAGAAGAACAAGGAUGAGAGUAACUGUUCAUCCCUUGACGGUAUCUAACCAGAAAGCCACGGCUAACUACGUGCCAGCAGCCGCGGUAAUACGUAGGUGGCAAGCGUUGUCCGGAUUUAUUGGGCGUAAAGCGAGCGCAGGCGGUUUCUUAAGUCUGAUGUGAAAGCCCCCGGCUCAACCGGGGAGGGUCAUUGGAAACUGGGAGACUUGAGUGCAGAAGAGGAGAGUGGAAUUCCAUGUGUAGCGGUGAAAUGCGUAGAUAUAUGGAGGAACACCAGUGGCGAAGGCGGCUCUCUGGUCUGUAACUGACGCUGAGGCUCGAAAGCGUGGGGAGCAAACAGGAUUAGAUACCCUGGUAGUCCACGCCGUAAACGAUGAGUGCUAAGUGUUGGAGGGUUUCCGCCCUUCAGUGCUGCAGCUAACGCAUUAAGCACUCCGCCUGGGGAGUACGACCGCAAGGUUGAAACUCAAAGGAAUUGACGGGGGGCCCGCACAAGCGGUGGGAGCAUGUGGUUUAAUUCGAAGCAACGCGAAGAACCUUACCAGGUCUUGACAUCCUUUGACCACUCUAGAAUAAAGAGCUUCCCCCUUCGGGGGCAAAUAG